CGCACGGAAGGUAGAAGUUCAGCGGUGUUCAUGGAAAAAGGUAGCCAAAAUCAGUUCCACGCAGUCGACGACCAAACACCGCUGAGUGCGUUUGACUUAACAAAAUGGCCACUGCCACGUGUUGGCACAGAUGAAUGCCGACCACCCUGUUAAUCCAUUAGAAUGUUGAGGUGUUUGCGGUUUUUACAGGUCAAGAGGGUUAAGUGGUGCCACACUCCUGCUCUGGGUGGUCGGUCG